CCGCGUGAAGGAAGAAGGUCUUCGGAUUGUAAACUUCUUUGAUCAGGGAAGAAUAAUGACAG
rnacentral:rRNA from 1 species